GAUGAACGCUGGCGGCGUGCCUAAUACAUGCAAGUCGAGCGAACAGACGAGGAGCUUGUACCUUUGGCGGUGGCGACGGACGGGCGAGUAACACGUGGAUAACCUACCUACAAGACUGGGAUAACUAAGGGAAACCGGAGAUAAUACCGGAUAAUAUAUCGAAACGUAUGGCUUAAUAGUGAAAGACGGUUUUGCUGCCACUAAUAGAUGGAUUCGCGCCGCAUUAGCUAGUUGGUAAGGUAACGGCUUACCAAGGCGACGAUGCGUAGCCGAACUGAGUGGGUGAUCAGCCACACUGAAACUAGGACGAGGUCCAGCCUCCUGCAUGAGACACAGCUAGGGAAUCUUCCGGAAUGAGCGAAAGCUUAUCGGAGGAACGCCGCGUGACUGUAGAAGAUUUUCGGAUCGUAAAACUCUGUUAUUAGGGAAGUACAAAUUUGUAAGUAUCGGUGCGCGUCUUGACGGUACCUAAUCAGGAAGCUACGGCUAACUACGUG
rnacentral:rRNA from 1 species